rnacentral:rRNA from 1 species
GAUGAACGCUGGCGGCGUGCCUAAUACAUGCAAGUCGAGCGAACAGACGAGGAGCUUGCUCCUCUGACGUUAGCGGCGGACGGGUGAGUAACACGUGGAUAACCUACCUAUAAGUCGGAGAACACCUGGGAACAGCGGCUAAUAUCGGAUAUAAUAUAUUGCACCACGUGGUUCAAUAGAAAAAGACGGUUUUUGUGUCUCUUAUAGAUGGAUCCGCGCCGCAUUAGCUAGUUGGUAAGGUAACGGCUUACCAAGGCAACGAUGCGUAGCCGACCUGAGAGGGUGAUCGGCCACACUGGAACUGAGACACGGUCCAGACUCCUACGGGAGGCAGCAGUAGGGAAUCUUCCGCAAUGGGCGAAAGCCUGACGGAGCAACGCCGCGUGAGUGAUGAAGGUCUUCGGAUCGUAAAACUCUGUUAUUAGGGAAGAACAAAUGUGUAAGUAACUAUGCACGUCUUGACGGUACCUAAUCAGAAAGCCACGGCUAACUACGUG